GCAGCGCUGUUGGCAAUGCUGUCAGUUUCUUAGAAAAUUUCUCAUAAUAAACUUGUGUACGGUGUGCGUGUUUCAUCAAAAUCUUUCAUUUUCGCGAGCUUCCAUUCAUUGGAGUGGAUAAAUGUUUAAACCAAAUUUGAGGUUUGAUCAAAAUUUUACAGGAAGACCGAAGAUGUGCAGAUAAAUAAUAUCAUCUCAUAGAAAAAGUGUACUCAACAGAGUGAAGAACGUGUUGUGCAGUGGAACUUUUGAUUUAUUGCCGUGCUUUGAUUUGGUUUCCAAGUGGGAGGAGCACAAACUCAGCGAUAUUCCCAAAAAAGGCAAAUUUUGCCUAUCAACUUUUGUCGGAACUGGCAAAAUGCAGAUUUUCGAACCUCGAACACCUUGUAUUG
rnacentral:misc_RNA from 1 species